AAAAAUGCUACAAGAUAGCAUCCAAAAAGCUUUUCUAGACAUUGGCUUAGGCCAAGUAGUCAUGACUAAUGCCCCAAAAGCAAACGCAAAAAUAUAAAAAUAGAAUAAGAUCAAUAGGACCUAAUGAAACCGAAAAUCUUCUGCAAGGCAGAAGAAAUAUCAGCAGGGUAAACACACAACCCACAGUAUAGGAAACAGUAGUCACAAACUAGGCAUCUGACAAAGGACUAAUGUCCAGACUCCAAAGGAACUGAAAGAAAUCAGCAAGAAGAAAAGGUGCCAUUUACCACCUUCCUGACUCAUUGGCCAGAACCAAUGUUAGUGGAAUUAACAUAUGCCCCACCCCAAGUGACUUCUAAAGGGCUAACUCACCACAAGGGAGUCAGAGCAGAUCUUGGACUGAGACCUACAGGACACAGGUACUGCUUUUUCUCUUUUAUUUGUUUUAAAUUUUAUUUAUGUUUUUAGAUCAAAUAGUUCAGAUUGCAUUGGUUUUUAAUCUGCUGUUGUUGGAUUAACAUAUGCUUUAAGCGACUCUUAAAUAGGUGGCUCACCAGGAGAAAGGCAUAGCAGAACCUGGACUGAGACCUACGGGAGACAGGUAUUGCUUUUUCUCUUCUAAUCAUUUUAAAUUUAAUUUACCAUCUUUCAUCAAAUAGCUCCGAUCAUAUCAUUAUUUUUUCUUUUCUGUUUUGUUGGUGGUUUUAUUGGUGGAGUUUUAUUUUACUAUUUUAGAAAAGCAGUCUUUUAAAAAAGACUUUUAAAAAGUUUUAUUACUCUUUUUUUAAAAAAAAAUUAUGUUUUCCCUUGAUGUGCUUAUUUCCUUUAUAAAGAUCAUCACCAUUAAAUUACUAGGAGAUACUGCGGCUGAUUUUGUCAUGCGUGAGAUAAGAAAUUUUUUGCCAAAGCAAUUAGUGAUGAGUGCAAUGGAAAAAUCCGUGAUGAUCUUUUAAGAUGAUUAACUUUCUAAUCCAGAAAAUGCUGCUGUUUGUACUGAACAAAAUAGCUUUAUUUUUAUAUGACCAGGGGUACAUAAAAUGCUUCAAAACAACACAUAAUUUGGCAAAAAUACUAUGUCUUGCCAGCCAGAAGAAUAAGUGUGGUUUUAUUUCUAUGUAUAUGUCUAGUACCAUGCCUGCACUAGAGUUGGGAAAUUUUAAAAACAUCACCUAUUGAUACAGAAGAGAAGUGCUGGGAAGGGAAGGGCAUGGUCCCUUUGAAUGAUACGGAAAAGGUGAAGGAAAGUGAUGGGUAGAGGAGGCCGGGGUCCCUGGCUAGGGCUCCAAACCUGGGCUUGUGCCCCUGGACCUAGAUGAGGACAGGCAUUUUUGUUUUCCUGACCAAAUGUUGCAUUUCCCAAGAUCACCCUGGCCCACCAUGCCCUAUCCUGUGCCUAAAAAAACCCUGGGACCCUAGCAGGCAGACACACAGGAGGUUGGACGUCGAGAGGAGCACAUCAGUGCAAGAACACAUGGGUGGCUGCCACUUCUCUCCCUUUCCUGAGAGGGAAAAACUCUCGACGCUGAGAGGAAUCCACCAACAGGCACCAGCACUCUGGCAGGCCACCGACCAAUGGAUUGACAUAGAGUUUGGCUGGGGCAGCCAGAGGAGAGCCUGGGCCGCUGAAUAACCCGACUUCAGGGGAAAACUAUUCUCCCUUUUGGCUCCCCCAUCUGCUGAGAGCUACUUCCACUCAAUAAAACCUUGCACUCAUUCUCC
ensembl:lncRNA LINC01480 long intergenic non-protein coding RNA 1480